CUCACGGUCCACCCGACGCGCAUUGAAGUAGACGGGCUGGCUGAUAUCUAUGCCGCCCGAUCACUGUUCUUCUUCCUCAUCCUCUAUCCGUUCCCCAUUGUUCUCCUCUCAUAUCUAAACACUGCGACCUCUCUGUACCGGCGAGAUGUGUGCCUCAUCCUCGACCUCGCAUUCACUCGCCCCCUUCCUCCAAGAGCAGGCUCCUCUCCCUCUCAUCCGAUGCCCGUGGUGCAACAACGGCGAUGUCGAGUGGUGGAUUUCCUAGACACCAAAGAACCCCGGGAAACACUUCUACAAGUGCGAGCACCACUGGGACGAAGCUCCGCUGCCACAUCGCCCCCAGCCACCGACGGAUCCGACCACCAGGCCACCCCACAAACGGCCCGAUGAAUCCAGGUACUCGGAAGCAUGAGGCCGAUGGCCUAUCACUGCAGAUCUGGCUCGGGCUGAGACUUAGGGGAUGAAGGAUGGCGACCAGACAAGCACCGAUCCGGCGAGCUCUUCUCCAAAUCGUUUUCUUUCCUCAUUUUUCUCUCUGAAAAGUUUCCUCGAUUUUUUUUGUACGAGGUCAGAUUUGUGGUGUUCAAAUCUGUUUUUUUUCGACGAGGACAAAUCUAGGAAAUUAGCGGGGUUUCCAUGACUGUGAUUUGCAAUUUUCACCUUCAGAAUUUGGGGUGAACUGUCCUGGUCUUAUCUGAAAUUUCGGUGAUUAUUCAGUGCAUUUUAAUCCGUGAAAUUCCACUCUGUUGAUGGAUCUGUAAUUACAAUUAUUUCUUGAUGCAUCAUAGAACAA